CACUUAAGGGAGGGUCCCUCAGCCCGGACUGCGAGAGGGCACAGGCCAGGCCGAGGGACCCCACCGGUGCGUG
rfam:Myotis lucifugus cont2.19359, whole genome shotgun sequence.